UAUAUGCGUCGUCGACGUCGUCUGUAUCACGUGAUUAAUUCAAACCAAUGACGGGCGGCUGGAGCUCCGCACGGAAGACCUGUCACUCACACGCCAACUCCAGCUUCAUGACAUUGUCGGCCAGCUGCGCUAAUCAGGCAAAGUCUAGGCUUUUGUGACAAGCUGGGAGAAGAGAGACUCAUUGGCCUUUACUGAUCUCCAUCCAGCCCCAGUUAAGCAGAGAUGAAUCAGCUGAUCAAGAUCUCCAGUGUUACAACAAUCUGCCAGAUAAACAAAGAUCCAUCCAGGCAAAAGUUUCUGCAUUUUUUUGAUGUACAUACAGAUGAACUACCUGGCGAAGCAAUCCUUGGAGCUUCUGUGCACAAAACAUGAGGACAGUUCCAUCAGAAUGACAUGUUUGGUGCCUACAGCUUAAAAUCGAAAAACUAGCAAGAAAUCUGAGAGUUGAGAAGCAUUCAACUACGUUGCUAGUUUAAAGGUGGUGAUCACUGUGGUUCAUUGGUUGGAAUGCAUGAGUCUAGUUUAGUGAACUUCGGUUGCUUUAUUCCACAUUGUUGAAUAGAAAUGUGAUUUGUUCAUAAUACGCACAAAUCCACCAAACAACAAUAGUUAGCAACAUUUAACUUCAAUGCCAGUUGCUUCACUCAGACUGUAUUGUUCUCUCACGUGCACAUCUUUGAAAGGCAUAUGUGAUUGGCAGUCUGUUAGCGACCUCUACUGGACAGAUUUGUGUAAAGCUUUGUAACACUGAGCUUU